ACCACCCAGGCUUGGGACUCUCUGUGACAAGUCUGGUUUAAACUGCUCUCUGCUUUAUUCCCACUUCUCUGAAGCUUCCUCAUCCUUCAUACGACUGACCCUGGAGCUGAAGGCCAGGUUUUGCAGUGGUCUGAGUCACUCAGCCCUAAACCAGGUGUGUUCCAAUUUCCUCUACUAUAUGUGCCUCAACCUCCUCUCAGCUCCAGAGAAGACAGGACCACCUUCCGAAGAAGAACUCUCUGCAGUUUCUGAGCUCCUGCAGCAUGGGCUGCCCCAGAUAAGCAGCAGGAGCCCUGAAAGCCUUGCCUUCCUGUCUGAUCACCAGUACAUGGAGGGAGCUGCUCGCCAGAGACAGUACUGCAUCCUGCUCCUCUUCUACUUGUCCUACAUCCAUGAGGACAGGUUUGUCUCAGAGGCAGAGUUAUUUGAGGCUGUGCAAAGCUUCCUCCUGUCUCUGCAGUACCAGGGCAAGCGCCCCCCACUGGUGGUCUUCAAAGCCUCCAUCUAUCUGCUUGCAAUCUGCCAGGACAAAGACAAUACACUACGUGAGACUAUGGUCAGUGCAAUCAGA
rnacentral:sRNA from 1 species